UACGGGGGGGGCAAGCGUUGUUCGGAAUUACUGGGCGUAAAGGGCUCGUAGGCGGCCAACUAAGUCGAACGUGAAAUCCCCGGGCUCAACCCGGGAACUGCGUCCGAUACUGGUGGGCUUGAAUCCGGGAGAGGGAUGCGGAAUUCCAGGUGUAGCGGUGAAAUGCGUAGAUAUCGGGAGGAACACCUAUGGCGAAGGCAGCUCGCUGGGACGGUACUGACGCUGAGACGCGAAAGCGUGGGGAGCAAACAGG
rnacentral:rRNA from 1 species